AUCCUGGCAGCACAUACACUAAAACUGGAAUGGGACAGAGAAGAUUAGCAUAAAAUGACACAAAGAUUUGUGGAAAGUUCCAAAUUUUU
rnacentral:snRNA from 1 species